CAGACGACUCACAGCCAAUGACUGCCUCUUGCAGGACAAAUUCUAUGGAGGACACACAAAAUAAUUAGUGCAGAGUGCAGAGAGAGCUCUGAGUGUGAAGCUGGAUGUAAUCAGGUGUCAAAACACAGAAACCUGAGGAGAUGAGCACAAAUACACGGUGAGCUCGGUUAGGAAGGAGCGACUGCUCAGGUCCUGCUGGGCGGAAAGUGUUGCCGUUCUGUGUAUUUCCCUUCCGGCUGCUCGGCAGCUCUUCCUCUCCUUGCCGGCCACCUGAGAGCCAUCAGCAUCUCUCCGGGAUUUUACCGGCUCCCAAAUUCUAGGCUGUAAAGGGCAAAGGAGAGAUUCAUUGACAAGGUCCAAUCCUCUCUUCUGAUUGUCUCAUUAGAAUGCUGACAGCUUAUCAAAAAAGGCCCUCAGAGCCAUCCUUGGGAAUCUAGAUGGAGUUUUUCAGCUGAGGCACUUCACACCCUGGACAGCUGCAAGCCCUCCAUGGGAGAUGCAGUCUUGAGCAAUACCCUGUGCGUGGAAGAUGCGCAGUCAAGCCAUCCUGCUCACUGGGACCUGAGCUCUCUGAGUCCUUUAAGAGGUGGCAGCAACAUGGCGCCAGGCAGGCACCAAAGGAAGACUAUGCAUGUGUGGAGGAAGGAGAACUCUAUCUGUGCCCAGACGAGAGGGCUUGGCCGCGCAGUGAAUCACACACGGGGAGAGGCAGCACCAAAAGACAGAUGAAGGACAGGUGGAAGAAAGGAGGGCAAUUUUGCUGGUGCAGUCGGGUGUCACAACUGCAGUGAUUACUGAACUGAAAUUGUCCCUGACAAUUCAGGGACACUUAGUGUUACGAACUGAAUGUUUGAGUCCCCCUAAAAUUCACAUGGUGAAUC
ensembl:lncRNA